UACGUAGGGUGCGAGCGUUGUCCGGAAUUAUUGGGCGUAAAGAGCUCGUAGGCGGUUUGUUGCGUCUAUCGUGAAAAACCUGCAGCUUAACUGUGGGCUUGCGGUGGAUACGGGCAGACUUGAGUUCGGUAGGGGAGACUGGAAUUCCUGGUGUAGCGGUGAAAUGCGCAGAUAUCAGAGGAACACCAGUGGCGAAGGCGGAGUCUGUC
rnacentral:rRNA from 1 species